GCCUCCACCAAUAGCUCAGUUGGUUAGAGCAUGGUGCUGAUAACACCAAGGUUGCAGGUUCGAUCCCUGCAUGGGGCA